GACGAACGCUGGCGGCGUGCUUAACACAUGCAAGUCGAACGAUGAAGCCUUAGCUUGCUUUGGUGGAUUAGUGGCGAACGGGUGAGUAACACGUGAGCAACGUGCCCAGGACUCUGGAAUAACCGCGGGAAACCGUGGCUAAUACCGGAUAGGUGCCGAGGCCGCAUGGUCUUCGGUUGGAAAGUUUUUGCGGUUCUGGAUCGGCUCACGGCCUAUCAGCUUGUUGGUGGGGUAAUGGCCUACCAAGGCGACGACGGGUAGCCGGCCUGAGAGGGUGACCGGCCACACUGGGACUGAGACACGGCCCAGACUCCUACGGGAGGCAGCAGUGGGGAAUAUUGCACAAUGGGCGGAAGCCUGAUGCAGCAACGCCGCGUGGGGGAUGACGGCCUUCGGGUUGUAAACCUCUUUUAGUAGGGAAGAAGCGCAAGUGACGGUAACUGCAGAAAAAGCACCGGCUAACUACGUG
rnacentral:rRNA from 1 species